rnacentral:lncRNA from 1 species
ACAUAUGUUUAAUGGAAUCGGAGCAUCCUCAUGUACCCAAACUGAAUGUGCAUGCCUCCCAGAAACACUCAGGCACUUGGCUGCUGAAAAGGGAAGUCAUCUUCCUUUUUAUUUCAUAUCUAGUAGGCUUGUCUAGGAGAAGGGUAAAACCCUAAUAGUCCUUCCUUUUGGUUAUUACAGUUAGUACCUAAAACUAAUCAGCUCAGGGCCAUCCUAGGUCCAAGAGCUGGUUUGAGUGUGAAGCAGCCCCAAGCUGGAACACUGUCAUUGUGCUGCCAAGGAUCAUGCAU